CUGAACCCAAAAACAAAAUAAUAGAAAUGCGCCUCUUAUUCUCAGGUGAUUCCUGUUAUACCAGAUGUUAUUAAACAAAAGAUCAUAUCACUAUCACAAACAAACACGAAGAAAAAAAAUGAAUAGAAAAUAAAGCAUGUGAGCCAAAAAAAUUAAGAUCAAGCAUAUUACAGAGAAAGCAUGUGAGCCAAAAAAAAUUCAAUCAGGACCAUCUUACCUUUAAAAUUAAAUGCGUUACUUGCUCGAGAGCUUUCUCUGCAUCAACCAAUUCUGUGUCGGACAAAACCCACAACAACUAUGCCCUAUCAACCAAUUACAGGGUCAAUAUAAUCAAAACAAAACAGCACCAAGGUGGACAUCUUGAAACAAAAUUACGAAACACGCAAAGAGUAAUUACGAAACAAAAACCCUUACUUCGAAAGGGGAACGAACACGCAGCUACACUUGCAACAUCAGUCACAUCUACCUAGGUUAGCUCCUCCUACCUAGGUUAGCCACAUCUACACAGCUACACUUGUGGCGAAUGAGAACUGUGACGAAAGCCUUCGAUGAUGGUGGAGACGAGAGAAACGUUCUCUUGAGGGUACGCAAAUGAGAAUGUGGCGGAUGAAUGGUUGAAUGAACUGUGCGAAUGAUAGAGAGUGAAGAAGAGAAGAAAAAAAGGAAGAGAGUGAUCGACGGGUCUUACGAGAGUGAGAGGAAAAUGGAAAAUGAAAGUGACAGGGACGAAAGGAGAAGGACCGAGAGGGAAAUGAAAAAAAAAUUAAAAAAGUAAGAUACUAUGACGAACUUCUAAA
rnacentral:lncRNA from 1 species